rnacentral:tRNA from 1 species
CGGGGCGUGGCUCAGUUUGGUAGAGCAUCAGGCUGGGGGUCUGAGGGUCGCAGGUUCAAAUCCUGUCGCUCCGA